GUAAUCAGGCCACAGACAUUUUUUCCUGUUUACAAUUGUCCAGCAAGAUUCAGUGCGCAAGGACCUGCUGUCAAUGCUCCAGCACCUUCUGGUGCUGAAGGACCUGGACCUGUAACUGGACCAUCUUCCUUCAUGGCAUAUCGCCACCCAUCAUCUGAACCAA